rnacentral:rRNA from 1 species
GGCCAGACUCCUACGGGAGGCAGCAGUGGGGAAUAUUGCACAAUGGGGGAAACCCUGAUGCAGCAACGCCGCGUGAGUGAGGAAGUAUUUCGGUAUGUAAAGCUCUAUCAGCAGGGAAGAAAAUGACGGUACCUGACUAAGAAGCCCCGGCUAACUACGUGCCAGCAGCCGCGGUAAUACGUAGGGGGCAAGCGUUAUCCGGAUUUACUGGGUGUAAAGGGAGCGUAGACGGCAUGGCAAGUCAGAUGUGAAAGCCCGGGGCUCAACCCCGGGACUGCAUUUGAAACUGUCAGGCUGGAGUGCAGGAGAGGUAAGUGGAAUUCCUAGUGUAGCGGUGAAAUGCGUAGAUAUUAGGAGGAACACCAGUGGCGAAGGCGGCUUGCUGGACUGUAACUGACGUUGAGGCUCGAAAGCGUGGGGAGCAAACAGGAUUAGAUACCCCUGUAAA